GAUGAAGGAACGCAGCGAAAUGCGAUAAGUAAUGUGAAUUGCAGAAUUCAGUGAAUCAUCGAAUCUUUGAACGCACAUUGCGCCCGCUAGUAUUCUGGCGGGCAUGCCUGUUCGAGCGUCAUUUCAACCAUCAAGCCCUGUUUAGGCUUGCGUUGGGGCCCUGCGGCUGCCGCAGCCCCCUAAAUGCAGUGGCGGGCUCGUUGUCACUCCGAGCGCAGUAGCGUAUCUCGCUCUGGGCGUGGCGGCGGGUGCUAGCCGUGAAACACCCACUAAGGUUGACCUCGGAUCAGGUAGGAAUACCCGCUGAACUUAAGCAUAUCAAUAAGCGGAGGA
rnacentral:misc_RNA from 1 species